rnacentral:rRNA from 1 species
GUGCUUGCACCUUUCAAGCGAGUGGCGAACGGGUGAGUAACACGUGGAUAACCUGCCUCAAGGCUGGGGAUAACAUUUGGAAACAGAUGCUAAUACCGAAUAAAACUUAGUAUCGCAUGAUAUCAAGUUAAAAGGCGCUACGGCGUCACCUAGAGAUGGAUCCGCGGUGCAUUAGUUAGUUGGUGGGGUAAAGGCUUACCAAGACGAUGAUGCAUAGCCGAGUUGAGAGACUGAUCGGCCACAUUGGGACUGAGACACGGCCCAAACUCCUACGGGAGGCUGCAGUAGGGAAUCUUCCACAAUGGGCGCAAGCCUGAUGGAGCAACGCCGCGUGUGUGAUGAAGGCUUUCGGGUCGUAAAGCACUGUUGUAUGGGAAGAAAUGCUAAAAUAGGGAAUGAUUUUAGUUUGACGGUACCAUACCAGAAAGGGACGGCUAAAUACGUGCCAGCAGCCGCGGUAAUACGUAUGUCCCGAGCGUUAUCCGGAUUUAUUGGGCGUAAAGCGAGCGCAGACGGUUGAUUAAGUCUGAUGUGAAAGCCCGGAGCUCAACUCCGGAAUGGCAUUGGAAACUGGUUAACUUGAGUGUUGUAGAGGUAAGUGGAACUCCAUGGGU